AUUGAACGCUGGCGGCAGGCCUAACACAUGCAAGUCGGGCGGAGCGGCGGAUGGGUGAGUAAUGUAUGGGGAUCUGCCUGAUGGAGGGGGAUAACUACUGGAAACGGUAGCUAAUACCGCAUACCAUCAGAUGAACCCAUAUGGGAUUAGCUUGUAGGUAAGGGAACGGACUACCACGGCGACGAUCCGUAACUGGUCUGAGAGGAUGAUCAGUCACACUGGAACUGAGACACGGUCCAGACUCCUACGGGAGGCAGCAGUGGGGAAUAUUGGACAAGGGGCGAAAGCCUGAUCCAGCCAUGCCGCGUGUGUGAAGAAGGUCUUCGGAUUGUAAAGCACUUUAAGUUGGGAGGCGUUACCAACAGAAUAAGCACCGGCUAACUUCGUGCCAGCCGCCGCGGUAAUUC
rnacentral:rRNA from 1 species